UGAAGAGCGGAGACUAUUCCUAAGUUCAACUUCAUCUAGACGCAUCUACGUCCUUGUUUCUCAAUAUGACCACAAAUAACGAUGAUACAUUUGAACGGUGGCUCAAGGAGUACAUAGAGAUAUGUGAAAAAUGUUACCGAAGGUGCCUUAAACCUGGGGGACCUCUCCGUCUAAGCCCCGGAGAGAUAAGCUGCAUGGAGUCCUGUAUGAGAAAGGAACUGAAGCGCUACAAAUGGAGAAGAGAAAUUGCCUCU